AGAGUUUGAUCCUGGCUCAAAAUCAACGCUGGCGGCGUGCCUCAGACAUGCAAGUCGAACGCGAAACCUUCCUUCGGGAGGGGAGUAGAGUGGCGCACGGGUGAGUAACACGUAGGUAAUCUACCUUUGGGUGGGGAAUAACAGCCGGAAACGGCUGCUAAUACCGCAUAAUGCAGCGGCUCGACAUCGAGACAGUUGUUAAAGCGGGGGAUUCGCAAGAACCUCGCGCCUAAAGAGGAGCCUGCGGCAGAUUAGCUAGUUGGUAGGGUAAUGGCCUACCAAGGCAACGAUCUGUAACCGGCCUGAGAGGGCGGUCGGUCACACUGACACUGACAUACGGGUCAAACUCCUACGGGAGGCAGCAGUCGGGAAUUUUGGGCAAUGGGCGAAAGCCUGACCCAGCAACGCCGCGUGAAGGAUGAAAUCCCUCGGGAUGUAAACUUCGCAAGAAUGGGAAGAAUAAGUGGGGGACAAUACCCCCCAUGAUGACGGUACCAUUUGUAAGCUCCGGCUAACUCCGUGCCAGCAGCCGCGGUAAUACGGGGGGAGCAAGCGUUGUUCGGAUUUACUGGGCGUAAAGGGCGCGUAGGCGGUCGUGACAAGUCACUUGUGAAAUCUCCGGGCUUAACUCGAAACGGUCAAGUGAUACUGUCGGACUAGAGUACAGAAGGGGCAACUGGAAUUCUCGGUGUAGCGGUGAAUGCGUAGAUAUCGAGAGGAACACCUGCGGCGAAAGCGGGUUGCUGGGCUGAU
rnacentral:rRNA from 1 species